AACGCUAGCUACAGGCUUAACACAUGCAAGUCGAGGGGCAGCAUGAACUUAGCUUGCUAAGUUUGAUGGCGACCGGCGCACGGGUGAGUAACACGUAUCCAACCUGCCGAUGACUCGGGGAUAGCCUUUCGAAAGAAAGAUUAAUACCCGAUGGCAUAGUUCUUCCGCAUGGUAGAACUAUUAAAGAAUUUCGGUCAUCGAUGGGGAUGCGUUCCAUUAGGUUGUUGGCGGGGUAACGGCCCACCAAGCCUUCGAUGGAUAGGGGUUCUGAGAGGAAGGUCCCCCACAUUGGAACUGAGACACGGUCCAAACUCCUACGGGAGGCAGCAGUGAGGAAUAUUGGUCAAUGGACGAGAGUCUGAACCAGCCAAGUAGCGUGAAGGAAGACGGCCCUAUGGGUUGUAAACUGCUUUUAUAAGGGAAUAAAGUGAGUCUCGUGAGACUUUUUGCAUGUACCUUAUGAAUAAGGACCGGCUAAUUCCGUGCCAGCAGCCGCGGUAAUACGGAAGGUCCGGGCGUUAUCCGGAUUUAUUGGGUUUAAAGGGAGCGUAGGCCGGAGAUUAAGCGUGUUGUGAAAUGUAGACGCUCAACGUCUGCACUGCAGCGCGAACUGGUUUCCUUGAGUACGCACAAAGUGGGCGGAAUUCGUGGUGUAGCGGUGAAAUGCUUAGAUAUCACGAAGAACUCCGAUUG
rnacentral:rRNA from 1 species